rnacentral:rRNA from 1 species
AUUGAACGCUGGCGGCAGGCCUAACACAUGCAAGUCGAGCGGCUGCAGGGAGCUUGCUCCUGGAUUCAGCGGCGGACGGGUGAGUAAUGCCUAGGAAUCUGCCUGGUAGUGGGGGAUAACGUCCGGAAACGGGCGCUAAUACCGCAUACGUCCUGAGGGCGAACGUGGGGGAUCUUCGGACCUCACGCUAUCAGAUGAGCCUAGGUCGGAUUAGCUAGUUGGUGGGGUAAAGGCCUACCAAGGCGACGAUCCGUAACUGCUCUGAGAGGAUGAUCAGUCACACUGGAACUGAGACACGGUCCAGACUCCUACGGGAGGCAGCAGUGGGGAAUAUUGGACAAUGGGCGAAAGCCUGAUCCAGCCAUGCCGCGUGUGUGAAGAAGGUCUUCGGAUUGUAAAGCACUUUAAGUUGGGAGGAAGGGCAGUAAGUUAAUACCUUGCUGUUUGGACGUUACCAACAGAAUAAGCACCGGCUAACUUCGUG